GAUUGAAUCAUGGUGGUGGUUACUGC
rnacentral:piRNA from 1 species